rnacentral:sRNA from 2 species
GAUGAACGUCUACCCAAUAUGGCAGAAGCGGGGGACCCAAUCCCCAAGCUGGGAUACGGCUUCUCAAUCGAGAAGUCUCGGGGCUAAGUCACUUCGGUGGCCGAGCGAAUCCAUGCUCGAGUCCGACAGCUCACCUCGUCAGGCAAUGGAGGAAUUAUCA